AUUUGCUGAGAGUUAUGAAGAUCAAACCAGUUAUUUAUCAACAAAAUUGCUUCUGAACACUAAAUAUAAACAAUUAUUAUAAUGUUAGUGCACCCGUGUCUCCAUAGUAUUGCAUUGCUUUAGCAACGGUCCUGGAAAGAAGUUGGGCCGCGGUUUUAACUUUUUGACGUUGAACUCCACUGACAUUUAAAUGAAACUCUGUCACUUUUAACCAUGUUAAAUCCAUGAUCAAUGAUGUUGUUUCUUAUCAAUUUCAAUAAAUGUGGUACAUCAGCAAAGACAUGGACGUUUUUUCCAGUGUUUGGAUGUAAAAAACUACUAUUUGUAUGGGUAACUUUCAAUGAAUUCCACAAAGAAAUUAUUGAAGCAGUCAUUGGUGUGUCAUAAGAAUAAAAUACUGGCUGCUUCCAAGAUUUGAAGAGUCCUCUAACCAUGACCACUUGCACAGUUUGAUGUGGUCCUAAAACUUGAUCAAUUGCUUUAUCAUAGCAUACAUCAUGU